AAGACUAUAGACCUGCGGAGUACCUGCGGAAGGAUCAUUACCGAGUGAGGGUCCUCUCGGGCCCGACCUCCCAACCCUAUGUUUACUGAACCUCUGUUGCUUCGGCGGACCCGCCUCACGGCCGUCGGAGGGUUGUUACAAACCCUCUGGCCAGCGUCCGCCGACGGCCAACCUUUUAAAACUCUGUAUGAAUCGUGUCAUGAUGUCUAAGUACAAUUGCAAAAUUAAAAGCAAAACUUU
rnacentral:misc_RNA from 1 species